rnacentral:lncRNA from 1 species
AGCUCACGUCUUGGUCGUUUUACAGGGCCGGUAUAGCCGAGUUCAUAGCCACUUUUCUUUUCUUGUACAUCUCCGUAUUGACAGUGAUGGGCGUCGUCAAGUCCAACACCAAGUGCUCAACCGUCGGCAUUCAAGGGAUUGCAUGGGCCUUCGGUGGCAUGAUCUUCGCGCUCGUUUACUGCACAGCUGGCAUCUCGGGUUUGUACCAGCUGCGCUUCUGGUUAAUUAAUUUUAUGAGCAAAAUAACUAAAGGGUUCGACAAAAUAAUUUUUGAUUUUUUAAACUUUUUGUUGUGACGCAGGUGGUCAUAUCAACCCGGCGGUGACAUUCGGGCUGUUCUUGGCGAGGAAGCUGUCGUUGACACGUGCACUUUUCUACAUGGUGAUGCAGUGUCUGGGAGCCAUCUGUGGUGCUGGCGUUGUAAAGGGUUUCAUGGGUGCCGGCCAAUACGGUCGGCUCGGCGGCGGUGCCAAUGCUGUAGCUCAUGGCUACACCAAGGGUGAUGGUCUUGGUGCCGAGAUUAUUGGUACUUUUGUUCUUGUCUACACAGUUUUCUCUGCCACUGACGCCAAACGUAGCGCCAGAGACUCUCAUGUUCCUGUAAGUUGAUUCUUUUUCUGGUUAAUGUAUGAUUAAUUAACCAAUAAUAAUCAUAAUUAUUACCUUUACUAAUAACUACCUUAUUGAAUAUGGUUAGAUUUUGGCUCCUUUGCCAAUUGGGUUCGCUGUGUUCUUGGUUCACUUGGCUACUAUCCCUAUUACCGGAACUGGCAUCAACCCCGCAAGGAGUCUUGGAGCUGCAAUCAUCUACAACAAGGACCACGGUUGGGAUGACCAUGUAAGUUUAAUUUACUCUCUUGAUUACCCUAAAAUAAGAUCUCGGUCAUCAAGAUUACACUUGUGGACGUAAAUUCAAUAAUGGUAAUUAAUCAGUUAAUCAUGAUCAAUCUUAUAUAUGGUUUUGAUGCAGUGGAUUUUCUGGGUGGGACCAUUCAUUGGAGCAGCACUUGCAGCUUUGUACCACCAGGUUGUGAUCAGAGCCAUUCCGUUCAAAUCAAGCUGAUGGUCUUAUGAACGGUCGUGAUUGCUGAUGCAUUUGUUUAUGGCUGUCGUUGGUGGUUCUGUUUUAUAUUUUAGAUUAUCCCAAGUCCAUGCAUUUUCGGUUCGUUAAAUUUUCUGGUUGUUUGGUUUUGUGUAUGAAUUUUCUGUAAUGCCUAUGCACAAAGAAGCCGCUGGCAGUGGCUUUAUUUAAAUUUAUGUAGUUUAUUUUUUCUUAAAAAGCAAAGUAAUUUCAUUAAACAAUAAACAGUACAAUAAUGAUACACAAUACUACAAUAGUAGAUCCACACACUCUAAAUAUAUAUAUGCGGAUAAAACUGUAUAUUACAAACAUAUAAUAUAUAUAAUUAAUAAAUGGAUCUUAUCGAAUUUUUUGAAUACUAGCCAACCAAAAAGAAUUUGCCUUAGUUGAAGAGGCGUUGUUAGAAGCAUAAUCAUUAUGUAUUAUGGAACACCAUAUAUAUGCUCGCUAUCGUAUGAAGUUUGCGUGCUGGUAUUUUUUUGCGUUUUGGUUAUAAAUGAAUGUCGUUUGGAGAAUUGUUAUAUAUGUACAUAAAAUUUCAAAUUAAAAAAAAAAAUGGUUAUGAUGCUAUGAUGUAAUAUUGAAGUUUAUGGUCAAUCCAAAAGAAAAUGACUUACAAAGGAAAUGGAAUAGAUUUAAUUUAAUUAACAUUGUCGAUUAUACGACAAUUUUAAAUGGCGGAGGAUUUACUACGUAAAUUUGGAUUCAGUAUUAAGCUGACUUUUUUAAUAAUUUUUUUUAAAGAUACAAUUAAUAGUUAUUAUAUAAGAAAACAAAACUAAUCAACUUUUAAUCGUGUAUAGCUAAACAUGCACGGAUGUUUUGCUCUGUUUUGUUGCAAUGUAAUAUUACUUCUUUGUAUGGUUAAAACCAACAUUGCAUAACUAAAGAAGGGUAAAAGCUCGUUUAGUCUCUAUAUUUUGAAGUUAGUGCCCGUUUAGUCCCUAUAUUUUUAAAAAUACCUUAAACCAUCCCUACCAUUAAAUUAUUGACACUUUUGCCAUUAUCUUUUGUUCCUUUUAACUUAUUUUUAUAAUAUUGCUCUAUUAUAAUAAUUUUUUAGACAUUAUUAAAAAGAAAAAAAUAACCCUAUUAUAAUAAUUUUUUAGACAUUAUUAAAAAGGAAAAAAUAAAUUACCAGUUUAACACCAAAAAAUAAAAUAAAAUAAAAUAAUAUAUAUUAAUUUUUGUGGAACACACUCUUGAGUUAAAAUAUUAAUUUUUCUAAAAAAAUUGAUAAUGUAAUUUUUUACGAUAUUAAUUUUUUAGACAUACGUGAGUUUCCACAAAAAUUAAUAUAUACCUUUUUUGUUUUUAUUUUAUUUUUGAGUUUAAUUUGAUAAUUUAAUUUUUUAUUAAUAUCCAAAAAAGAAACAUUAUUGUAAAAAUGUAAUAUUGUAAAAGCAAGUUAAAAAUAAUAAAAAAUAAUCGCAUAAGUGUCAAUAUUUAGUAACAGGGACGUUUUGAGGUGUUUUUAAAAAUAUAGGGACUAAAUGAACACUAACCUCAUAAUAUAAGGACUAAAUUACAAGCUUUUACCCACUAAAGAAUUAUACAUUGUUUGCUUUUACUUUUUUUUUUUAAUGAAGGAUAGACAUUUGUACAACUAUACGAGAGAAUCACUAGUUUAUUAUAUAAAAAAUAUAUAUGCAAAUAAUGAAACCAAACUUCAAGAGUUUUAUGUGAUGACAUCCCAAAAUGUUAUCCCAAAUUAUAUGGCACGUGAUGUAUCAUUUAUUAAGUGGUUGAUGAUCUUUAAUAAAUUCUAAAUGAAUUAAUUAAAUUAUCUUACCAAUAAGUGAAUAAAUCCACAUCAUUUAGGAUGAAAUUUACUAUUGACUAAUUAAAUUUUUUUACUAUUAAAAAAAUAAUCUAUAGUAUUUCAUUCUUUAAAUGGAUAAGAAUUAAAAGAAUAGAAAUUAUGAGAGUAGAAAAUUAGAUUUAUAGUAUCAAGUAUGUUAAUAACUCUUUAGUUGAGUUGGUUCAUGCCAACUCUUAUUAUCUGAAAGGUCGAGGUUUUGAGUGUUUUAUAUUUAUGAGAGUAAAAUUUAACAUAAAAAAUAGUGUCAAUAUAACCUGCUCCGUUUGGAGGCAAUUUCAUAGAUAGGCUACUUUAUAAAUUUCUCAAUUUUAUAAUUUACUUAAAUAAAAAAGUAAUGUCAUUUUAGUGCAUUUUUAAUUUUUUUUUAACUCAUAUGAUGGUGCAUUUUUUAAUUCAAUAAAAAGGUACAGUCACUUCUUUGUUGUCUAUAGUUUUCAUGUUUAUGUAAUAAAAUUAUGGGUUCAUGUUGUUUCAUAUAUUUAUGUGACGUGACUCGUAUCGUUUUCUAUAUAGGGGCAUGCAGCUUGAAUAUUAUUGAGCUUAAAUUCGCUCAAAUAUUAAGGUCCAUAAAACAUUCCCUCCAAAUAGAUUACAAAUAUAAUUAAAAAGAUGCAUUUAACCUUUCUUUGCCAGAAAGAAAUGACGAAGCUAAUUAAAGCACAAACCCAACUAUUGAUUGCAAAUAUCAUGAAGAUUAUUCAAUAUCAUCCAGACAAAUCACUACAACAAUAACACGCUAUAAGAAACAUGUUAGUUGACAUGAUUGGCAUAAUUAAUUUCCAUGAAUUCGCCAUUAACUACCGUCCUGUGUAAUAUAUAAAAAUACCUGCCAGCAUAAAAUUUCUCUAUGAUUUUGUACUUAUUAAGAGAUAAUCAUUCGCUACAGCUGCCUAAUGCAGGAAGGAUUAUGAUCCUCUCUUAAUAUGAUAUUUUCAUAAAUAAAUUUUAUUAAUGUCGUUGGUGGUUAAUAAAUAAAAAAGUAAAGAUAAUUAAAUCAUAAUUAUAUAUUAGCACCAAAAUACAAGUUGUAUAAAAUCUAUAAAAUAUUAGAAAAACUCAUAUCAUGAGAGGAUUCUAGUCCAUGUAGGAAUAACAUCAAUUAGAAAAAUUAUAAUUCAAAUUAUGUGCAUAAACGCCACCCAAAAAAAAAGAAUACUAUUUUUUACUGUAGUAAUUGAUCUAAAUUCAUUUUUAAGUCGCUUCCAACUCCUGAACUUUUUUUUCGUAAGUAAUACUCAAAAAUUAAGUUAAUUGUUGUAUCAAUUUAUUUUUAUAACCUAGUGUAUUUUCAGGAAGAGUAAAAUUAUUGAUUACGACGAUGCUAUCUUUAUAACAUAAAUAGGUUUCUAAAUUCUAAUGUAGACGUUCAUGCGUUAAAAAUAUAAAUACAAAGCAACACAUUGUUCUGUUCCUAAACAUUAUCCGAGGGAGAGCUAGUUAUGCAAGUUGUAAAAAAAAAAAAAAUGUACUUAAGUAUAUUUUAUAGUCUUCUGAGUUCAACUGUUAAAAAAUUGCCUAUAUGUCUUAGGGUUUAUUUGUGAUUGAAAUUUAAAAUCUACGGCACUAAAGUAUAUGGUAAACACUAGUUACUGUAACUUGAAAGUUAUGUUGAUAUGAAUUUUCAAUUGUAUGAUGGAAGAUCUAUUAUAUCUUUAAUAAUUUUGUUAAAAUUAUUAUUUAAAAUUUAUAUUUACUAUAUAUUAUCAAUUUUUGUUUCAUAAUUACAAUUUUUUCCAUAGCAGCUGUAACUUAAAAGUUACAGCACCUUAAUCCCAAAAAGAACUUUAUUGACGACUUCUCGACGUUAAAUCAUAACUUCGAUCAACUAGGGCUGUAAUUUUUUUUAAUAAUGUUACAGUCCCCUAAUAUUUAGAAUAAAGGGUCUACUAGAACUUUCUAAUCAAUUUUGUGACUGUGCAGUCAGAUUGGCUCUAAAUAACAUAAAUUAAUAUUAUAUAGUAAAUAUGAAAUAAAAAUUAAUAGUACAUAGUAAACACAAUUUUUAAACAAUAAUUUUGUUAAAAUUAAUAAAAAUAUAAUAGAUUUUUUAUCAUAUAAGUAUAAACUCAAAUCAACUUAACUUGCAAGUUACAAUAAUUAAUAUAUAAAAAAUAUUUUAGUACUAUAACUUUGAAAUUAUAAUUGUCUAAUUUCAAUUCCAACCGAGCUAGGGGUGGCAAAAAUACCCGCCUGGUCCAGACCCGUACCGCACCCGGGCGUUGUGGGCAUGGUAUUACCCAGCUUGAGUAUGAAGCCAGACCGAUCUUGAGCAUCACUUGAUAAAUUCGGAGCUCGGCUCGGAACCCAAAUUUUAUUAAAAAAAUAUUAUAAAAUAUAUACUAUUUUAAAUAUUUAUAUUUAUUUGACUCAUUUAUUACACAUAUAUAAAAUUUUAAACACUUAAAGUUUAUAUUUUUAUAUCAAAUUUUAUUGAAAUAAAUUUAAAACUUAUAAAAUUACCAAAAAAAAUAUACACAUAUAAUAUUAAAAAAUAUAAAAUUUAGGUACUCGCAUUAAAACUUGAUCCGAACAUCUAAAAAUUACAUCCAAACUAAGUCUGGACAUUGCGAUACCCGAACCCAACCCAGGAUUUUGCCAACCCUAAACCGAGCCUUCGACUUCUAAAUAAAUAUUUUGAAACAACGACGGAUAAAAUAAAUAAAGCCAUUCAAAUAGGAACGGACUAAUUCAUGGAGGCAUCAAUUCGUAAAGUUACAGUCGUGCCAGUGAACCAAUUCCUUAGAGCGAAAUGGACACACGGAAAGGACAAUAGGCCAGAGCAACCGACAUAAUUCACAUUAAGAAAAUGACAAUAAAGCUGAUUGAUAAUGAGAAAGACUUUGAGAGUGUAAAACGAAAUUAAAAUUAAAUAACCUACUUGCUUUGGUUUCUGUAAUUUGCCCUAAAAAGAGCAAUGAAAUUACGUAAUAAAUCCCGUGAUCAUCAUGUCCCAAUUCCCACCCACUCGGUCUGCUUGACCCUUGAUGGACGGUGGCCACAACAUCAUUACAGAUGUGGAUGAAAUUGAGCCAGCUAGGAUACCCCAACGUAAUGUCAUUUUUCUUUCUAAAUAGUCUAAGCGCAUUUAAGUAAUUUCCACAAAAUUCCAAGAAAAUGAUUGGUCGGUCACAAGAUAAGUAAGUAAAUUCAAUUUUAUACACCAAAUUGGAGCCCACCACCUGCACUCAUCACUCCCUGAUCCGGAUGAUAUAACCCCCUUCCCCCAACUUCUAGUACUCUCUCACUCAUUCUCAUCACAACAUCAAACGGCCACAAACAAAAAAGCAAGUGCUUCUUAUUGACUGUUUUGUGUUUUUGAGGGACUAGCAGAAAUGGAAGGUAAAGAAGAGGAUGUUAGACUGGGAGCCAACAAGUUCGCCGAGAGGCAGCCGAUUGGGACGGCGGCUCAGACCCAAGAUGGGAAGGACUACGUUGAGCCCCCACCGGCGCCGCUCUUUGAGCCCGGCGAGCUCAAGUCUUGGUCGUUUUACAGGGCCGGUAUAGCCGAGUUCAUAGCCACUUUUCUUUUCUUGUACAUCUCCGUACUGACAGUGAUGGGCGUCGUCAAGUCCAAUACCAAGUGCUCAACCGUCGGCAUUCAAGGGAUUGCAUGGGCCUUCGGUGGCAUGAUCUUCGUGCUCGUUUACUGCACAGCUGGCAUCUCGGGUUCGUACCGGCUGCGCCUCUGCUUGGUUAAUUUUAUAAGCAAAAUAUCUAAAGUGUUUUUAAAACUGUUUGUUUUGACGCAGGUGGUCAUAUCAACCCGGCGGUGACACUCGGCCUGUUCUUGGCGAGGAAGCUGUCGCUGACACGUGCACUUUUCUACAUGGUGAUGCAGUGUCUGGGAGCCAUCUGCGGUGCUGGCGUUGUAAAGGGUUUCAUGGGUGCCGGCCAAUACGGGCGGCUCGCCGGCGGUGCCAACGUCGUAGCUCAUGGCUACACCAAGGGUGAUGGUCUUGGUGCCGAGAUUAUUGGUACUUUUGUUCUUGUCUACACAGUUUUCUCUGCCACUGAUGCCAAACGGAGCGCCAGGGACUCUCAUGUUCCUGUAAGUUAACUCCGUUUCUAAUAAAUUGUAUAAUUAAUUACCAAUACUUGAUUAUUUUUACUAAUCACUAUAUUAUUGAGUAUGGUUAGAUUUUGGCUCCUCUGCCAAUUGGGUUCGCUGUGUUUUUGGUUCACUUGGCUACCAUCCCAAUUACCGGAACUGGCAUCAACCCAGCGAGGAGUCUUGGAGCUGCAAUCAUCUACAACAAGGACCGCGGUUGGGAUGACCACGUACGUUUAAUUUACUCUUUUGAUUACCCUAAAAUAAGAUCUUGAUCAUCAAGAUUUAUGCUUGUAGAAAUAAAUCUAACUGUGAUAAUUAAUCAAUUAAUCAUGAUCAAUCUUAUGUAUGGUUUGAUGCAGUGGAUUUUCUGGGUGGGACCAUUCGUUGGAGCUGGACUUGCAGCUUUGUACCACCAAGUCGUGAUCAGAGCCAUUCCCUUCAAAUGAAGCUGAUCGCUUCAUCGACGUUCGUGAUUGCACCUGCAUUUGUUUAUGGCUGUUGCUGGUUUGCUUAUGUGUAUUAUAAAAUAUUAAUUAGUCCUUUGUUCAAAUCUGCUGGUGCUGGACCUGGACCUGCUUCUGUGUUUUCCUUCCUUAAAACGUUUUUUUUUUUUUUUUGAAGAGAGGUCGAUGAUGAUGACGGAUGGGCCCAUGGCUAAGUAGGUGGGCGCUGUCACUUUGUACAUUUGUAUGGCUGUGGAUUUGUGCAAUGUCAUCUUGGUAAUAAUAUGGACAAAACUAGUUCUAUUACUUUUAUUAUGUGAUCUUUUUACAUUGGUCAUCUAAAUUAUUUCUUUCUAGGAUUUACCUAUACGUAUGUUAUAUAUGUGUAUAAUUGUGAUUGAUGGAUCGGUACCUGCCGUUGCUUUCAUGCAUCAGCACCAUCCUCUUGUUCGCGUAGCGUGGGCCUUGCGAAAGAAGAUAGAGCUUCUAUUACUGACUCUUUUUUUUUUUGUUUGGGGGCUUAAUUUAAUAUUAAUUAGUUAAAUAAAUAACAUAAAAGUAUCCAAGCAUAUCCCAACGGCGAUUGGAGAACUUAUGUGUCCAGAGAUUUCCAAUAUGAUCCGGGUUUAUAAAUCAUACCAUGAAAUUGAUAAAUUAAGUUACGCGCAGACUAGAAAUAUCUUGCUCUUAUCUAAUUUCUAGAGCGCUCUUCACUCAUGC